rnacentral:rRNA from 1 species
GUAACACGUAGUCAACAUGCCCAGGGGACGUGGAUAACCUCGGGAAACUGAGGAUAAACCGCGAUAGGUCACUACUUCUGGAAUGGGUAAUGACUCAAACCUAUAUGGCCCCUGGAUUGGACUGCGGCCGAUCAGGCUGUUGGUGAGGUAAUGGCCCACCAAACCUGUAACCGGUACGGGCUCUGAGAGGAGGAGCCCGGAGAUGGGCACUGAGACAAGGGCCCAGGCCCUAUGGGGCGCAGCAGGCGCGAAACCUCUGCAAUAGGCGAAAGCCUGACAGGGUUACUCUGAGUGAUCUCCGUUAAGGAGAUCUUUUGGCACCUCUAAAAAUGGUGCAGAAUAAGGGGUGGGCAAGUCUGGUGUCAGCCGCCGCGGUAAUACCAGCACCCCGAGUGGUCGGGACGUUUAUUGGGCCUAAAGCAUCCGUAGCCGGUUCUACAAGUCUUCCGUUAAAUCCAGCUGCUUAACAGAUGGGCUGCGGAAGAUACUAUGGAGCU